GAGUUUGAUCAUGGCUCAGGACAAACGCUGGCGGCAUGCCUAACACAUGCAAGUCGAACGGACAAGUUAGCGGAAAUUUUUCGGAAUGGAAGCUAAUGCGUUAGUGGCGGAUGGGUGAGUAACGCGUGGAUAACCUGCCUCUAAAUGGGGAAUAACUACGAGAAAUCGUAGCUAAUACCGCAUAAUAUCUCUUUAUUGCAUGAUAGAGAGAGGAAAGACGGCCUUAGUGCUGUCGUUUAGAGAUGGAUCCGCGUCUGAUUAGCUAGUUGGUGAGGUAAGGGCUCACCAAGGCGACGAUCAGUAGCCGGCCUGAGAGGGUGAACGGCCACAUUGGGACUGAGACACGGCCCAAACUCCUACGGGAGGCAGCAGUGGGGAAUCUUCCGCAAUGGGCGCAAGCCUGACGGAGCAAUGCCGCGUGAGUGAAGAAGGCCUUCGGGUUGUAAAACUCUGUCCUUAUCGAAGAGAGAGAAGAGUAGUAACUGACUUUUCUAGGACGGUAGAUGAGGAGGAG
rnacentral:rRNA from 1 species